UUAUUAAGAUUGGCUUCUGGAUUCCAUCAGCGGCGGCCGCCUCUCUCCAUCUCGCCGGCGCGUGACGAGGAGAACGAAGAAGAAGAGAGGACUUAGGGUUUAUUGGGUCUGUUUCUACUGUACCGCAACUCUUGUCGAUGCCUCCCUUCUCGAUUCCAUCAGCGGCGCCCGCUUCUCUCCUUCUCGCCGGCUCGUGACGACGAGAACGAAGAAGAAGAGAGGACAACCAUUGAGAGUACAACAAGGCAUGUUUUGGACCUCCAAUCACUGGAUUAAUCAGGGAGGCUAAUUUACAAGAAUCCAAAGCAGUCAAGACACUUGGAGACAGCAGGGAUGCGUGUAUAUGAUACGCGGAUAGAUUUUACUAACUUGAGAUCUGAGAAGCUAGUACAUGCACUUCAAUGAAUCUGGUUUUUGUCUUUGACCUGGUCACAGUUGACAUGCAGCAGAACAAUGGUUAAGGAUAUGAGAUGUUUGUUAAAGAUGGCUUCUGCAAUGAGGUUAUGUUUUCAGUUGAUUGUGUCUUCCAUAUUGAAACACAUAAGUGAUCCAACUGUUCUUUCUUUUAUUCAGAAAAGGGGAUAAAACAGAUCCAUAAUAUUUAUCUGAAAGAAACAAGUGCUAAUUGAUGAAAUUUUCACAAAAUCAAAUUAACUAAUUAGCAUAUCAUCUUUUGAUCAGUCUUCAUGUCAUACAGAAAGCAUAAUUAUCCAUGUGCACUCUGUUAACUAGCACAAAUAUAAAAGUGCCUAGUACCAUCUUUAUUCUAUGCUUGAAGUUGCAAAGUUUUUUUUAAAAGUAUAUUUAGAGCAUACUAUUAUUAGUCCAGCUGGAGACAAGGCAAAUAUACCUACGGGUAUCUAGCAAUAAACUAGUAACAAUAAGUUCAUAACUGGAAAACUGUGGAGGCUGCACACUCACUGCUGAGUUUUCAUGAACAUAAUUAUAUAUAAGAAAUUAUGGGCUUGGUUGAGAGAAUAAUGACAUUUGUGGCUAAACCUCAUGCAAAAUCAACAGACGAUAUGAACCUUUUAGUCAUUAAAGCUAGCUAAAUUCUUCCCAGCAGACAAUGCGGCAUCAGUUUUAAGGGCAAAAAAAUUGGCAGCUUUGGCAUUCUUCAUCCAGAGGUUUUGUCCGAGUUCAAAGUACAGGACUCUUGCUCUUUUCUUGAGAUUGGCAUUACAGUCCUUGCUGUGAAGUCCUGGAAAUUUUUUUAUGUGAAUGGAAGGCAGUUCUAAUUUCUCAUAUUUAUUGUGGGACACAUCUGCAUGACAUUGAAAAAUACCAAUUCAAGUACUUCCCUUUUUGUCAUGAGUGCUAACGCCAUUGAUUACCGGUUAGUAAUCUUGUUACUCUAAUCGCAAGAGAAUAAAAAUAUUAAAACAAGGAAAAACAAAAAGACAGAAAUUUUUGUGAUUCGGUUAAUAUGAUCUACGUCCACAUACAGAAAAAUAGAGAUUUUUUAUUCUUUUUUUGCUUGAGGGAAACUGAUACAAUACAAGAAACUCUAGAAUCAACCCUAGAUUCGAGGACAUAUAUAAUCCCCAGGAAACUGAUUUGGCUUAGUCCAUGCUAUUAAGAUACCUUGUCACUUAAACCAUGUGAGUCCUCUGCUCCCAGAAUUUCAAGUCUAGGUAUAAUUUGGAUCGUGGUAUUCGGACUAGAUUACCACGAUUUGAUGAUCAAGUUCACGACAUCUCAACAAAUGUCCUUGUUGGAAUAAUUGGAAGUUUGGAGGAAUAUCUCAACAAAUGUCCUUGUAGGAAUAAUCGGAAGUUUGGAGGAAUUUCUAGAGCACUUAACAAAGAACACAAGGUGCUCAUUUUGGAUUCUAGUCGUGAAAAUACUUUCCCGAAGGAGAAUUAGUCCCUUAUAAUGUGUGUCAAAGGUAAAUGCGAAGCCUUUAGGAUACAAAAGACAUGAAAGUAUGUCUCAUAAUUAUUUAACUCCUUUUAUUACACCGAGAAAUGGAAUCUAACUUUCCUAACUUCUUUUUUACAUAAAGAGUUGUCUUCUAACCUCUACAACUAUCAUAAAAUCCGAAAAGACGCCAUAUUAAAAAUAUUUUCAAUAUUUAAAAAUAUUAUAACACUUAUGAACUCAGAACCAAAUGCGAUUAGCUUUCUGGGCCCAUUUUGUUUGAUGUUGUUCUCCAUAUUGACCAUUUCUGAAAGCAUUUUUAAACUUGUUAAAGUUAUUUUAAUUGGGUAUUUCAUGGCUGCAAUUUCUGUUUCUUGAGUUUGUAAACAUUCCAUCUCUUUCUAACUGAUAUAUUGUGCCAAUUGUUCAUCCAGUCAUUUUUCUUGUUGAUACUUUUUUGAAAGGCUAACUUUGGUAUUUUUGUUAUUUGAAAAGCAGGAAUAAGAACCAAAUCAGUGUGCAUUGUCUAAAUCAUAUUAAGCUUUUGAUAAUAUAAAAUGUGGAAGAGCACUUUUAUAACAGUGGAGGUAACAAUAAUGAGGAACACAAGACUUCCAGUAAGUCUUCAUGAGAUGCUUCGAGUAUUUUGGUGUUAUUGUUCAUUAACUUUGAUCAUUGACUGAGAAAGGUUAACCUGUUACAGGAGCGUUUAUUAGACAUAAUUUGCUUUGAAAUUGAAAUUACACAUAAAAUUGCAUGUUCAACCUUGUGUUUUUUUUAAUGAAAUAGUGUUUGGUCGUUCCUAACUAGUUUGUUAGGAUUUGAAAUAUUUAUCCAGUAAACAAUUAGAUAGAGACGUGGAGAAAUUUAUAGAACAAUUUAAUGCCAGAUUCAAUGUGAUGGAGUGGAGUUGAAGUUACUUUUCUUUACCUAUUUCUCUUUGUAUCCUUAUUUCUAUGCAACUUAUCUCUAUUGUUUUGUCCUUGUUUUGUAUUUAAACUU